GAUGAACGCUGGCGGCGUGCUUAACACAUGCAAGUCGAACGAUGAAGCCGGAGCUUGCUCUGGUGGAUUAGUGGCGAACGGGUGAGUAACACGUGAGUAACCUGCCCUUGACUCUGGGAUAAGCGCUGGAAACGGCGUCUAAUACCGGAUACGAGCUUCCACCGCAUGGUGAGUUGCUGGAAAGAAUUUCGGUCAAGGAUGGACUCGCGGCCUAUCAGCUUGUUGGUGAGGUAACGGCUCACCAAGGCGACGACGGGUAGCCGGCCUGAGAGGGUGACCGGCCACACUGGGACUGAGACACGGCCCAGACUCCUACGGGAGGCAGCAGUGGGGAAUAGUGCACAAUGGGCGCAAGCCUGAUGCAGCAACGCCGCGUGAGGGACGAAGGCCUUCGGGUCGUAAACCUCUUUUAGCAGGGAAGAAGCGAAAGUGACGGUACCUGCAGAAAAAGCACCGGCUAACUACGUGCCAGCAGCCGCCGUAA
rnacentral:rRNA from 1 species